rnacentral:rRNA from 1 species
GAUAUUGCACAAUGGGGGAAACCCUGAUGCAGCGACGCCGCGUGGAGGAAGACGGNCCNNUGGAUNGNAAACUCCUGUCUUAUNNNNNGAUAAUGACGGUACCAUAGGAGGAAGCACCGGCUAACUACGUGCCAGCAGCCGCGGUAAUGCGUAGGGUGCGAGCGUUGUCCGGAAUUACUGGGUGUAAAGGGAGCGUAGGCGGGGAUGCAAGUCAAGUGUCAAAUCUAUCGGCUCAACCGAUAGCCGCGCUUGAAACUGUGUCUCUUGAGUGAAGUAGAGGCAGGCGGAAUUCCUAGUGUAGCGGUGAAAUGCGUAGAUAUUAGGAGGAACACCAGUGGCGAAGGCGGCCUGCUGGGCUUUUACUGACGCUGAGGCUCGAAAGUGUGGGGAGCAAACA